UACGUAGGGUGCAAGCGUUGCCCGGAUUUAUUGGGCGUAAAGGGCGCGUAGGCGGCUCUGCACGUUCGUUGUGAAAUCGCCCGGCUCAACUGGGCGGGGUCAGCGGAUACGGCAGAGCUUGAGCAAGCUAGGGGGCAAUGGAAUUCCCGGUGUAGUGGUGGAAUGCGUAGAUAUCGGGAGGAACACCAGUGGCGAAGGCGGUUGCCUGGGGCUUUGCUGACGCUGAGGCGCGAAAGCUAGGGGAGCAAACGGG
rnacentral:rRNA from 1 species